rnacentral:misc_RNA from 1 species
UCCGAGUUGACCCCGGCAGUCUCCUACGAGUCCCCACCAUUACGUGCUGGCAACAUAGAACAAGGGUUGCGCUCGUUGCGGGACUUAACCCAACAUCCCACGACACGAGCUGACGACAGCCAUGCACCACCUGUGUAGAGCCCCGAAGGACACCGUAUCUCUACGGCUUUUCCCUACAUGUCAAACCCAGGUAAGGUUCUUCGCGUCGCAUCGAAUUAAGCAACACGCUCCGCUGCUUGUGCGGGCCCCCGUCAAUUCCUUUGAGUUUCAGCCUUGCGGCCGUACUCCCCAGGCGGGGCACUUAAUGCGUUAGCGCCGGCACUCAGAGGGUCGCUCCCCCAAGCACCUAGUGCCCAUCGUUUACGGCGUGGACUAC